CCUCCGCAUGGCUCUGCCGCUCCCCGGCAGCUGCCCGGCCGCCAAAUUCCCGCUGCACCUCAGCAAUUCCCCGGGGAAUGCCAGGAGUGCUCCCGUGCAGGGGUGUAAGGGGGCAAAAGGAUAAACCUCAGGAUAAUACAAAUGGGGGAGGUACUUUAAGUGGAAAGGGAAAGCAUGGAUGAUGCUUUUCUAUGGAUCUGAAUUAAGGGGAAAAUGCCCCCUUUUCCAUCACCAGAGAGGUUUAACGCAAGGAAAACCACUCUUUUCCCCAAUAUCUGCGGGGUUUAAAUUAAAAGGGAGAAGCCAUUUCUUUACCACUGCCUCUGUUUAAAUGGAGUUAGCUGUCCCAUUUGGUCAUUUUAAGUGUUGCCUUUUCCAGCAUUUCAAGGGUUUAAAGCUGCAUUUCAGGGCACUUUUACCCACACCCCGGCACCAAAUAUCUCCAACGGGGGCGAGGCCAGCAGGAGGAUUGCAAUUUCCAGAAGUUCUAGGUCAUAUCAAGUGCGAUACUUCAGAUUCUCUCAGCAGAUUCAUCGUAACACAAAAGGGAACCGCCCCCGCAGCAGCUUUCCUUAGCAGCGGAUCGUCCCCUCGCACAGAUUCACUUCAGAGAGAUAAGACAAGGGCUGUGGUCACAGAGGGGAUAAAAACAGGGCGGUGGGGUAGGAUUCACACCGGUUAGGGGUUUUGAGUCAGCUAUGCAGGGGGGAAGGUUUGAGAAAUGGCCUCUGGGGCCACAGUGAGGGAAAGCCUCACUUUAGCUAACGAUGCUGAGGUGGGCAGGGCAGAGCAGUCCCAGGGUGGGUUGUCACUUGUCUCUUGUGCUUUCUGUAUCUUCUGUGCAUCUCGUGUAAUGUUUCUCUUGCCUUAGCUCUUCCAGGAGCUUAUAAGAAACCCCAGGUCCUUCCGUUCAUCUCCCAUCUUCGCGUUCCUCGGUCCGACGCCGGCAAAGCUUCGAUUCGGGAGCUCGGACACGCAUCAGAAUCACAUCAGUCUUUAGAAGCACGUGAUCAUAUGUUUCUUUAGGUCUCAUUCUCUGUGUUGACAGCUAUGUGCAGCAAUGUUUCUUUACAGUGGAUAAGGACUUGUGCCGAUUCAAAGGCAGGCAGAGGCUUCCAGCCACAGGAUUCUCGGGCAUCCGUCUCUGCGGUUCUUGGAAAAAGUUGUUCCUUUAGCGUCUUUUUCCUCCAGGGUCAUCUGAGCCCGGCAGGCUCGCCUCGGGUCCCUCCUAGGUCAUCUCGUUCAGCAUUCUCUCGGUCCUCGUGAGGACUUUCUUGUCUCAGGGAUUUUUCUCUCCCUGUCACGUCCCCUCGUCUCACGUGUCACGGGUGUCUGGGGGCAUUCGGUCCGGAGCUGCUCUGCCCUGCCGCCCAGCCCGGUUGUAGGUGUUUAAGGACAAGUCUCGGGCACUUGUAAUCGGAGACUUGUAGUACGGGCUGUAGUUGGAGUCUAGGUGGUAUUCUUAUGUUGGCAGAAGGUGUUUGGAGCUGUGAAGUUACCCUGCAGCACUUUGACUUUUUUCCUAACUUUCUUUCAGAUGCAGACGGUUUGACCUCGUGGCAGAGCAGCUAUCCCAGAUGAUGGGGGUCCCCCUGCGAAGGAAGUAAAGCCAGAAAGCAGCAGGGAGGGCGAAGCAGGUGGAAGGCUGCCUCCUCAUGCUGUGCUGAGGCCCCCUCACUGACCUGCCAAGAGACCCGGUUUGCUUCACUCAUUUGCUGGUGAGCCCCAGCAAAUAUUACCGGAGUCCGUGACGAAGCCUCGACCUCAUCCACGUGUCGGUGCGGUCCCGGUACCCUUUUAGGUGCGGUCGAGGAGUUGCGGCGAACCCUGCGACGACGGCGUCCGCCUCGGAGCAUGGCUGAAGCGUGAGGCCCGAGGACCUGGGAGUUCCUAAGAGACGGUGAUGAUACUUGUCUGAGACAACAGCCUGGUGAGAGAAGAACUUCCCAGACAGUGAGGUGGCUUUGUUUGGCUCCCGACCGGCCUCUCGCCGUGACUCACAUCUUCAGCCCUCUGAGAGAUAAGUGGAGCCCACAGAGGGGAUCAAGGCAGGGCGGCGGUCGGGACUGAGAUCGGUUUGGGUUUUUGAGUGAGCUUUGGGGAUGCGGAGGUUUUGGAAAUGAUCCCAUAGGCCCCAGUGAGGGAAAGCCUCACUUUGGUUUGCAAUGCUGAGGCAGGCAGGGCAGAGCAGUCCCAGGGUGUGUUGUCACUUGUCUCUCGUGCCUUCUGUGCCUUCUGUGCAUCUCGUGUAAUGUGUCUCUUGCCUUAGCCCUCCCAGGGGCAUAUGAGAAACCCUGGGGUCCUUCCGUUCAUCUCCCAUCUUUGCGUUCCUCGGCUGGACACCGGCGAAGGUUCGAUUCGGGAGGUCGGACACAUGUCAGAAUUGCAUCUGUCUUCAGAAGCACGUGAUCUUUUUAGGUCUCGUUCUCAGCUGUGUCAACAGCUAUAUGCAGCAAUGUCUCUUUACAGUGGAUAAGGACUUGUGCCGAUUCAAAGGCAGGCAGAGGCUUCCAGCCACAGGAUUCUCGGGCAUCCGUCUCUGCGGUUCUUGGAAAAUAGUUGUUCCGUUAGCAUCUUUUUCCUCCAGGGUCAUCCGAGCCCGACAGGCUCGCCUCGGGUCCCUCCUCGGUCAUCUCGUUCAGCAUUCUCUCGGUCCUCGUGAGGACUUUCUUGUCUCAGGGAGUUUUCUCUCCCUGUCACGUCCCCUCGUCUCACGUGUCACGGGUGUCUGGGGGCAUUUGGUCCGGAGCUGCUCUGCCCUGCCGCCCAGCCUGGUUGUAGGUGUUUAAGGACAAGUCCCGGGCACUUGUAAUUGGAGAUUUGUAAUACGGGCUGUAGUUGGAGUCUAGCUGGUAUUCUUAUGUUGGCAGCAGGUGUC